GACGAACGCUGGCGGCGUGCCUAAUACAUGCCAGUUGAGCGCUGAAGGUUGGUACUUGUACCAACUGGAUGAGCAGCGAGCGGGUGAGUAACGCGUGGGGAAUCUGCCUUUGAGCGGGGGACAACAUUUGGAAACGAAUGCUAAUACCGCAUAAAAACUUUAAACACAAGUUUUAAGUUUGAAAGAUGCAAUUGCAUCACUCAAAGAUGAUCCCGCGUUGUAUUAGCUAGUUGGUGAGGUAAAGGCUCACCAAGGCGAUGAUACAUAGCCGACCUGAGAGGGUGAUCGGCCACAUUGGGACUGAGACACGGCCCAAACUCCUACGGGAGGCAGCAGUAGGAAAUCUUCGGCAAUGGACGAAAGUCUGACCGAGCAACGCCGCGUGAGUGAAGAAGGUUUUCGGAUCGUAAAACUCUGUUGGUAGAGAAGAACGUUGGUGAGAGUGGAAAGCUCAUCAAGUGACGGUAACUACCCAGAAAGGGACGGCUAACUACGUG
rnacentral:rRNA from 1 species